UCUAGUCUGGCAUUGUAAGGCGAUAUAGGAGGUGCAGCAUAGGUGGGAGGGCUUCCUCGUGGAGCUCGCCUCUGAGAUACCACCACUCUUACUGUUGCCUUACUUACAUGAUUGGGUGGAACAAAGCGCGGGCCCCAGGUCCGGA
rnacentral:rRNA from 1 species